rnacentral:snoRNA from 1 species
CUGCACACCAGUAGACCUUAUCUGGUUCUUCUCAUAGCCAGGCGAGGGGGAUGGUGCGUGCUACAAAAACCUGGGGUUGCUGAGGCUGUGAUCAGCCUCAGCGUGGCUGGUUGAACUGCUAUACUCCAACAUAC